rnacentral:rRNA from 1 species
GACGAACGCUGGCGGCGUGCUUAACACAUGCAAGUCGAACGGAAAGGCCCUGCUUGCAGGGUACUCGAGUGGCGAACGGGUGAGUAACACGUGGGUGAUCUGCCCUGCACUUCGGGAUAAGCCUGGGAAACUGGGUCUAAUACCGGAUAGGAGCCAUUUUUAGUGUGAUGGUUGGAAAGUUUUUUCGGUGUAGGAUGAGCUCGCGGCCUAUCAGCUUGUUGGUGGGGUAAUGGCCUACCAAGGCGGCGACGGCUAGCCGGCCUGAGAGGGUGGACGGCCACAUUGGGACUGAGAUACGGCCCAGACUCCUACGGGAGGCAGCAGUGGGGAAUAUUGCACAAUGGGCGCAAGCCUGAUGCAGCGACGCCGCGUGGGGGAUGACGGCCUUCGGGUUGUAAACUCCUUUCGCUAGGGACGAAGCUUUUUGUGACGGUACCUAGAUAAGAAGCACCGGCUAACUACGUG